AUACGGAGGGUGCAAGCGUUACUCGGAAUCACAGGGCGUAAAGCGCGCGCAGGCGGCUUGAUAAGUUGGAUGUGAAAGCCUACGGCUCAACCGUAGAACUGCAUCCAAAACUGUCAAGCUAGAGUCUGGGAGGGGAAGAUGGAAUUAGUUGUGUAGGGGUAAAAUCCGUAGAGAUAACUAGGAAUACCAAAAGCGAAGGCGAUCUUCUGGAACAGUACUGACGCUGAGGCGCGAAAGCGUGGGGAGCAAACAGGAUUAGAUACCCUAGUAGUCC
rnacentral:rRNA from 1 species